GUGAAUCAUCGAAUUUUUGAACGCAAAUUGCACUCUCCUCGGAGAGUAUGCCUGUUUGAGGGUCAGCCUAAAAAAAAAAAAUCGACAUCGUUGCUGUUUCGCGGUGACGUUAGUCGGAAAUUUUUUCAUCUUAAACCUUUUGGUUUUUAUUUGACUUAAAAUUUUCUUUUUACCCCAUGAACUUUUUUUUUUUUUAUAUCUUUACACGUUUAAGGG
rnacentral:misc_RNA from 1 species